rnacentral:rRNA from 1 species
GACGAACGCUGGCGGCGUGCUUAACACAUGCAAGUCGAACGGAAAGGCCCUGCUUUUGUGGGGUGCUCGAGUGGCGAACGGGUGAGUAACACGUGAGUAACCUGCCCUUGACUUUGGGAUAAAUUCAGGAAACUGGGGCUAAUACCGGAUAGGAGCUCCUGCUGCAUGGUGGGGGUUGGAAAGUUUCGGCGGUUGGGGAUGGACUCGCGGCUUAUCAGCUUGUUGGUGGGGUAGUGGCUUACCAAGGCUUUGACGGGUAGCCGGCCUGAGAGGGUGACCGGCCACAUUGGGACUGAGAUACGGCCCAGACUCCUACGGGAGGCAGCAGUGGGGAAUAUUGCACAAUGGGCGGAAGCCUGAUGCAGCAACGCCGCGUGCGGGAUGACGGCCUUUGGGUUGUAAACCGCUUUCGCCUGUGACGAAGCGUGAGUGACGGUAAUGGGUAAAGAAGCACCGGCUAACUACGUG